rnacentral:rRNA from 1 species
CUAGCUGGUCUGAGAGGAUGACCAGCCACACUGGAACUGAGACACGGUCCAGACUCCUACGGGAGGCAGCAGUGGGGAAUAUUGCACAAUGGGCGCAAGCCUGAUGCAGCCAUGCCGCGUGUAUGAAGAAGGCCUUCGGGUUGUAAAGUACUUUCAGCGGGGAGGAAGGGAGUAAAGUUAAUACCUUUGCUCAUUGACGUUACCCGCAGAAGAAGCACCGGCUAACUCCGUGCCAGCAGCCGCGGUAAUACGGAGGGUGCAAGCGUUAAUCGGAAUUACUGGGCGUAAAGCGCACGCAGGCGGUUUGUUAAGUCAGAUGUGAAAUCCCCGGGCUCAACCUGGGAACUGCAUCUGAUACUGGCAAGCUUGAGUCUC